CAGUGGAGUUUGGAGGCGCUGAGGUGAUGAGAGGUAAUGCUAAAAAGUUCUUGCUAAACAAAUCAACUGAACUUAGGAGUCAAGUGACAGUCUGUGCGUCGACACGGAAUAUAUUCAGACAAGUUAGUUGCUCUGAUGUAAUUCUCAAAGUAAAUAAAUAAAAUAAAACAAAAUAAAAUAAAAUAACAUGAAAUAUAAAUGAAUAAAUAAAUAAAAAUUUAACGCUCCUUGGGGAAAAUAUUAUCGCAAAAAUCUUGGAAGGAGACAUUUUGUGUUUGUUAUUUCAUUGUGGCUUAUUGAUGCUGAUGUUGUUUAGAUCCCGAUCAGUCCUGGCUUAUUAACUAACACUAUGAUCAAAGGCGUUUCAGGCGUGACCAUCUUGCCUAAGCUUCAAUAUUAGUCUUAUGCCAGUUUUAUCAAAGGUAUCAUUAUCUUCUAAUUGACAAUUUUAGUAGUUCAGGUGAGCACGUUCAAACUCUCGCAUUGGUGGUUCAUUUCUAAGUUGUCUGUUUUAAGCGGUUUUCUUUUUUGUUUUUGUUUUUUACUGCAAAUAGUUAUUGCUGUUGCUGAAGUUGCUGCAGUUAUUGCUGCUUUUGCUUUUAUUGUGGUUGUUGCUGUUUCCUAAACAAUAGGAAAUAUUCGUUUCGAAUUUUGGCAGUUCAGCAAUUUCUGGGGCGGUUACAUCGACCCCAGUGCUCAACUGGCACUCAUUUUAUCAACCCCGAAAGGAUGAAAGGCAAAUUCGACCUCAGUGGAAUUUGAACUCAGAACGUAACGUCGGAAGAAACGCCGCAAAGCAUUUCAGUUCGGCGCGGUAAUGAUUCUGCCAACUCGCCGCCUUUAACAAUCACAGAUAUUCUUUUCUGUUCUACUCUAGGCCCGAAAUUUUGGAGGAGGGGGCAGUCGAUUAGAUUGACCACAGUACGCAACUAAUACUUAAUUUAUCGACCCGAAAGGAUGAAAGGCAAAGUCAACCUCGGCAGAAUUUGAACUCAGAACGUAAUACCUAUUUCUUUACUACCCACAAGAGGCUAAACACAGAGAGGACAAACAAGGACAGACAAACGGAUUAAGUCGAUUAUAUCGACUCUAGUGCUUAACUGGUACUUAUUUAAUCGACCCCGAAAGGAUGAAAGGCAAAGUCGACCUCGGCGGAAUUUGAACUCAGAGCGUAAAGACGGACGGAAUACCGCUAAGCAUUUCGCCCGGCGUGCUAACGUCUCUACCAGCUCGUCUCUACACGAGGAGAACGAUUAAUACUAGAAUUAGUGGAGUCUUCAAACUGUUAGGUUUCAAUAUUUCCGAUUUUAACAAUCGGAAAUAUUGAAACCUAACAGUUUGAAGACUCCACUAAUUCUAGUAUUAAUCGUUCUCCUCGUGUUUGCUAGGAGAAUUCGACUACCAAGACUUUCAAUGAGUAUAUUUUAAUAUUAUUCACUGAAUAUUCGGGGAUCGUGGUUUAUAUUAACUAUAUCUAUUAUUGGAACAAGGCCACAAUUUUAGCAGAAAGGGAAAAAUCGACUCCCAGUAGCUGAUAAAUGUUGUGUGAGCCAAUUCAUAUAAUCAUUGGUUUUCUAUACUGACACUAUACGAUAAUCAGCAUUGAUAUCUUGUGCACUUGAUAUUUCUGGUCUACUUUGAAUAUCUUCCUGCAUAAGUUUGAAUUACUUAAUUAAAUAUAAUUCUUGGAAUCUUCCUAAUUAACCCAAUAAUUGCUUUACACACUAAUUCACCAAAUCCAGGAUAUCAUUGUUAUACUAAUAUUCACAAAGCGUUACAUGUCUUUUCUUUGUGCUUGCGAAUACUCAGGAUUAUUUAGAAUGGUUAAUAAUUCGAUGUAUAGAGUGCUUAACUGAUAUGCUGCUAAGAUCACACAUCCUUAAACUAAGAAAUACUAUGACCCGCCAAAAUAUUGCUGAAUUGUUCUUUGCUCCCAUCUCUUUAUUAAACAAUGUCUCGUUUUAUAAACAGACUAAUUAACUUAUUUGAUUUCUAAACAGAAUGAAAUGGAGCUAUACAUGAUUAUUACAGACUAAAAAUUUUAAGAACCUCGUAAUAAGCAGGCAACAAAAAAGAGAUAGAUUAGAUAUGUGUAUUUAAUGCUAUCCACAUUUUUCUUUAUUCCUUAAUUUCAAGUGAAUUGUGAAGAAAUGAUUAUCUAGCAAUAGAAUUUGCAUCUACAGCUGUUUUACUGAGGGAAGGCACAUGGCUAUGUGGUUAGAGUGACGGGUUUACAAUCGUGAAGUUGUGAGUUCGAUUCCUAUACUGGACCGUGUGUUGUGUUCUUGAGCAAAAUACUAUAUUUCUCAGCGCUGCAGUUCACUCAGCUGUAGAAAAUGAGUUACGGCGUCACUGGUACCAAGGAGAGACUGGUAUGCAUGGGUAACUGCUGGUCUUCUACUAACCUUGCCUAGAAUUGUGCCUCGGAGGGGAAAUUUCUGGAUGCAAUCCGAUGGUCAUUUGUGACCGAAGGUAGUGUUUAUCCUUACCUUUUUUAUUGGAGUCUGGCGAGUUGUCUAUAAAGCUAAGGGCUUUGUGGAUGCGAAACCAUUGAUCACUUUAUGACCAGACAUACAUUUAACAUCAUGUAAAUACAUACACGUGUGUGUGUGUGUGUGUGUGUGUGUGUGUGUGUGUGUGUGUGUGUGUGUGUGUGUGUGUGUGUGUGUGUGCGUGCGUGCGUGCGUGCGUGCGUGCGUGCGUGAGAGAGAGAGAGAAUUGAUUUGGGAAUGGAAAAUGUACUUGGGUUUGAAAACAAAUAGAAUUUAAAAUAAUUUUUUAAAUGUCUUAAAAUACCACCAUUUUUAAGAUGGGAGGGUGUGAUCUGAGAAAGAUUUGUCUCCUAUUUCUCACCGAUCGUGUAACCACGUAGAAAACUUCUUCGUUGCCUCGAUAGAUGUUGUUACUAUCGUGUAACACCAGGACAGCCCUGACUAAACAGACUUAUAAUUAAAGUGUUUCAGACGUGAUCACAGAUCACGGAAUCAAAGACUCACAUUAUCCAACGAGCUCUUAGACGGUAUAGGUUUGAUCCGAGUGAAAUUUGGCUGUUAUUUCAGCAAGUUCGGACUACCGAACGACCGACCGACCACGUGGAGAGCUCUCUCGUCACUUCUAUUGAGAUGCUUCUUCAUCGCUAAAUAUAAGCGACGAUAAGCCAUUAGUGCUGGGAAUAUAUUGUAAUUUACCCUGAAUAAGGCGGCGAGCUGGCAGAAACGUUAGCACCCCGGAUGAAAUGCGUAGCCGUAUUUCGUCUGCCGCUACGUUCUGAGUUCAAAUUCCGCCGAGGUCGACUUUGCCUUUCAUCCUUUUGGGGUCGAUAAAUUAAGUACGAGUUACGCACUGACUUAAUCCGUUUGUCUGUCCUUGUUUGUCCCCUCUGUGUUUAGCCCCUUGUGGAUAAUAAAGAAAUAUAUAUUGUAAUCUAACCUGAACUCGUGCUUAGUAGGGAACUAAAUACCGAAAUAAGUAAAUGAAUAAAGAAAGAAAGAAAGAAAGAAAGAGAGGGAGAUAACACCGCCUGAACAUCUUUAAAAAUGAAGGGGAGAAAAAAUGCGUGAACACCAUGUGUAUGGAUAGUUGGAUACAUGGAUUUUUGGAAGAAAUCAACAUUGUAGGAAGCAUUUUUCUCCUCUUUAUUUCUCUCGACUUCUUCAUGUGAUGCGUAUAGUUCUGAUAACAAAUAUGCUGAAUUUGAAUAAAUUACAAAUUGAGAGCAAUACUGUCAGGAUGGUUGCCAAAUUUUACACUGCAGACAUGACUUGCCGUAGGAUUUUCUUGCGGAUUACGUUUAUAAACGAUUCUUUAAUAUCGUAUUUGAUAAAACUGAUACCUAAGCAUGCAUACAUAUUUAUACACGCAAACGCCCAUCAACGCACACACACACACAAACAGACACACAAACACCACACAGACGCACCCUAAUGGUUUCUUUGUCAGUAUAUUGUAUUCUGUUAUAUUUUCACAUAUACGCACUUGUUAUACGCAAGAGCCUACAUGUGAUCGAUCAACCUGCUAGAUACAGUAGCCAAAUCUAUCGCAAGUCUUAUUCUAACGUCUAGGGAAGUGAUACACUGUAUAAUGAAAUUCUGGACCCCCUGCACAUAGAUAAAUUUGGGAUAAUUACGAUGGAAUGCUUACGAUCAUAGGUUUACUCAGUUAUGAUUAACCGGGGGACAAGCGACAUGCUUAUGUAUGUAUGUACGCAUACCUAUUUCUUUACUAUCAACAAGGGGCUAAACACAGAGAGGACAAACAAGGACAGACAAACGGAUUAAGUCGAUUACAUCGACCCCAGUGCGUAACUGGUACUUAUUUAAUCGACCCCGAAUGGAUGAAAGGCAAAGUCGACCUCGGCGGAAUUUGAACUCAGAACGUAGCUGCAGACGAGAUACCGGUAAGCAUUUCGCCCAGCGUGCUAACGUUUCUGCCAGCUCGCCGCAUACCUUUGUAUGCAUGUAUAUCUGCAUGCCUUCUUCCUUCUCUUUCAGUUUUAAGCUUUUACCUGUGAUAACUAUGUUAUCAGCACUAUGGACAUAACCUUAUGUCUUCUUCUGGCGUAUACCAACAGAUAUCGCAACCAGGAUGAACAUCCCUUGGUGCAACUUUUACUGAUCUCUUGUGAUUUAUUCUCCUUUACGUAUUUGUUUCCCUCAAAUAUAUAUGUUGUAUAAAUAUAGUAAACUCUUGUUUAUAUUGAAUUCUCCUAGAUUUGAUUUAUAUAAUACUAGCAGUAUCGCCCGGCGUUGCUCGGGUUUGUAAGGGAAAUAACUAUAUAAGCAUUUUUAGAGAGUUAUAGCCAAAAAAUAGCAAAAAAACGCAUUAAAAAUGGAAAAAAAAUGAUGGUAAGUUUUUUUUUAAAUCGUUGACUCAUCGUAGACAUUUUUAGAGAGUUACUUCCCUUAUAUAAUAGCGAAAAAAUGCAUUAAAAUGGAAAAAAAAAUGAUGGUAAUUUUUUUUUAAAUCGUUGACUCAUCGUAGACGCGCGCUAAUACCCAGAAGGGUUCGAUAUGAAUCACGUCUAUAAGAUACCCUGUUUUGGUUAAACUGCACCGCAAAAUGUGGGAGUAGUUAGGAAUCUAAAUCGUAGGAGACAGACACACAACUUCACUUUUAUAUAUAAAGACUAGCAGUAUCGCCCGGCGUUGCUCGGGUUUGUAAGGGAAAUAACUAUAUAAGCAUUUUUAGAGAGUUACUUCCCUUAUAGAUGCCAAUUCGGGCUUUCUUAGCCAUUUCUGUUUUGGUGUCUUCAAGCCAUGAAGUCGUUGUUCUAAAAGAACGCUGGUCUCCUUGACAACGCAUUACGACGUUGAUUUCUUUACACUCCCUUCCCCACAGCUUCACGAAGGAGGGAAGAAGGGGGAGAAGCAAACACAGGUGCAGGUGGUUGAGCGUGGACGCCAACUCCGCCGCCAUCGACACACGAAAAAUUAUGCAUUAAAAUGGAAUAAAAAAUGAUGUUAAAUUAUUUUAAAAAUCGUAGACUCAUCGUAGACGCGCGCUAAUAGCCAGACGGGCUCGAAAUUAAUCACGACUAUAAGAUACCCGAAUUUGGUUAAACUGCACCGCAAAAUGUGGGAGGAGUUAGGAAUCUAAAUCGAAGGGGACAGACACUCACACAACUACAGUUUUAUAUAUAUAGAUAUAAAAACCAUCAUCUGACCCAAAUCCCAGUCGUUUGCCUGUGUAUCCUUUCAUUCUAUUAUAAAUAUACAUAGAUUCUUGUGGGGUGGGGGCGUGCGUGUGUGUAUGUGUGCGUGUGAGCGUGUGCGCGCGCGCGCGUGUGUAAGAGAGAGUGAAUGUUGCUACUUAGUUGGCUCCAUUUAGACACCAUUCUCCACGAUAGUUUCCCUUUCUCGGUCACCUCUUAUGCUCUCCUUACACAUUGACUUCCUAAUCUAAGUGCUUUCGUCACCAGCUCCUCCCCUUUUGUAUCAUACAUUUCUUUAUUCACAAUUAUUAUUGUGGAAGCAUAUCCAUUUUUCCGACUCCGUCCCAAUCCCGCCCGUGUGUAUUGCAUCGUUUGUAUAAUCCCUGUCAUUUCUGCUGUAGUAUAAGCCACCUCAUCACGCUUUUUUUGCGCUUCUGUUUCUCUUCUUUUUUGGAUUUGCAAGAUUCUUUAUAUGAGUUCGUGUGUUGAAGCAUAUUCUGUUGUGUCUGGGGAGAGUCAUUUUCUUUUUGUGCCUUAUUAUGUAACACACUCACCGGUAAAAUUUCCUCUUGUUUCUUAUUUUUAUUUUCCUAAAAUUUUCGUUGCGUCUUGCAACCUUUUGAGAGUCAAAACUAUUGAAAAGGUUACAAGACGCAACGAAAAUUUUAGGAAAAUAAAAAUAAGAAACAAGUGGAAAUUUUACCGGUGAGUGUGUUACACUAUAAGGCACAAAAAGAAAAUGACUCUCCCCAGGCACAACAGUUUAUCUUCUGUCAACGCUUUUAGCUGGACAUGCAAACAAUUGGGUCUACCGAUCCUUGUAGUAUAGUGUAGAAGUGGAUCAUUACUAUUUUAAACCUUCCGUCGGCGAUGUUCUUGUUAAACAUAGCCGGAGACAAAGCCAAUUUCAUAAGAAUUUACUCGUGCACUAUUCCAUUCUAUGUGUGUAUGUUGGUAUGUCUGUGUGCUAUAUAUUCUUUAUGACUAAUUUAUUGUGUAUUUUACAGAUAACGUACAAAAGGAAAAACCCCACUUGUGUAGUCUUAACAUAUGAGAUUAUGCUUUGGGGAAUAUAUAUACAGAACAUUAGAGUCAAUAUUCUAACAGCCAGUCUUUCGUUUUUAUGUCAAUUAACAAAAGAAAGAAAAAAGAACAUAAAUGUUGUCUGUUUGUUUUUUACUCUUCUCCCGUUCCUGCACAGAAAUUGGCAAAAUUUUUAUUGCAACAGUUUUUCAUGUUUUGUUUUAAUAUUUUCCAGUAUUUUUAAAUAUCAACAAAAUUGGUAAAAUAUUUAGCAAAAUACCUUACGAUAUUUAGCUGCGUUACGUUAUGCUCUGAGUUCAAAUCCCACAGGAGGCGAAAUUGCAUUAUUUCCCUACGGGAUCGUUACAGUAAAAGAUCCUAGUUCUAAGCAAAAUCAAUGUGUUGUACUGUAAGGAGAAGAAAACAUGACUGAAGUAGUGACAUCUGGUCGAGCCUGCACGGGUUUGUGUGAGUCAUUGAUUGGUACGUUGGCUAAUGUCUAUGUUCACCAGGAUUACAGACAUUAGGAGUAAUUUGCAUUUGUGGAUGAUUCUGGUUGUUGGUCUCACCAAGGUUGCUGUAUCCAGCAUCGUCUGAAUGUCAUCGCUGGUCCGUGGAUGACUCGCCACUAUGCAGCUUCCACAGCUUCAAUUAUUAUCCUAACCAAAGUGGCUAUCGGAUGCUAUGCAUUGCCAAACAGCAGUUCAUUUGUUUCAUAACGGUUUAUUUCCAUAUUAACCGCUAACUCCUAUUUCCAGAGAUCCGGGUAAUCUUAUCCCGAGAAAUAAGACAAUAUAAAGUAAUGACAAAAUGAAUAAGAAGAGAUA
rnacentral:lncRNA from 1 species